GUGGGGAAUUGUUCGCAAUGGGCGCAAGCCUGACGACGCAACGCCGCGUGGAGGAUGAAGACCUUCGGGUCGUAAACUCCUUUCGACCGAGAAGAAUGGCUCCCGACCUCAUACGUCGGGAGCAUGACGGUAUCGAGGGAAGAAGCCCCGGCUAACUCUGUGCCAGCAGCCGCGGUAAUACAGGGGGGGCAAGCGUUGUUCGGAAUUACUGGGCGUAAAGGGUUCGUAGGUGGCCAACUAAGUCAGACGUGAAAUCCCUCAGCUUAACUGGGGAACUGCGUCUGAUACUGGAUGGCUUGAGUGUAGGAGAGGAAUGCGGAAUUCCAGGUGUAGCGGUGAAAUGCGUAGAUAUCUGGAGGAACACCGGUGGCGAAGGCGGCAUUCUGGACUACAACUGACACUGAGGAACGAAAGCCAGGGGAGCAAACGGGAUUAGAUACCCGAGUAGUCC
rnacentral:rRNA from 1 species